UUCCGGUUGAUCCCGCCAGAGGUUACUGCUAUCGAGGUUCGACUAAGCCAUGCGAGUCGAAUGUAGCAAUACAUGGCGUACUGCUCAGUAACACGUGGACAACCUGCCCUUAGGUCGGGUAUAAACCCGGGAAACUGGGUAUAAUCCCCUAUAAGUCUCGGCUGCUGGAAUGCACCGAGAUUAAAAGCUCCGGCGCCUAAGGAUGGGUCUGCGGCCUAUCAGGUAGUAGUGGGUGUAGCGUACCUACUAGCCUACGACGGGUACGGGUUGUGAGAGCAAGAGCCCGGAGAUGGAUUCUGAGACACGAAUCCAGGCCCUACGGGGUGCAGCAGGCGCGAAAACUUUACAAUGCUGGCAACAGCGAUAAGGGAACCUCGAGUGCCAGGUUACAAAUCUGGCUGUCGAGAUGCCUAAAAAGCAUUUCAUAGCAAGGGCCGGGCAAGACCGGUGCCAGCCGCCGCGGUAACACCGGCGGCUCGAGUGGUAACCGUUAUUAUUGGGUCUAAAGGGUCUGUAGCCGGCCGGAUAAGUCUCUUGAGAAAUCUGGCAGCUUAACUGUCAGGCUUUCAGGAGAUACUGUCUGGCUCGAGGCCGGGAGAGGUGAGAGGUACUUCCGGGGUAGGGGUGAAAUCUUGUAAUCCUUGAAGGACCACCAGUGGCGAAGGCGUCUCACCAGAACGGACCUGACGGCAAGGGACGAAAGCUAGGGGCACGAACCGGAUUAGAUACCCGGGUAGUCCUAGCCGUAAACGAUACUCGCUAGGUGUCGGCCACGGUGCGACCGUUGUCGGUGCCGUAGGGAAGCCGUGAAGCGAGCCACCUGGGAAGUACGGCCGCAAGGCUGAAACUUAAAGGAAUUGGCGGGA
rnacentral:rRNA from 1 species